AGAGUUUGAUCCUGGCUCAGAAUCAACGCUGGCGGCGUGCCUAACACAUGCAAGUCGAGCGAGAAAAGGGGGGCAACUCCCUGAGUACAGCGGCGCACGGGUGAGUAACACGUGGGUAAUCUGCCCUGGAGUGGGGAAUAACACCGGGAAACCGGUGCUAAUACCGCAUACGAUAGCGAGGUCUGCGGACUUUGUUAUGAAAGGAGCAAUUCGCUCCAGGAGGAGCCCGCGGCUGAUUAGCUAGUUGGUGAGGUAACGGCUCACCAAGGCUACGAUCAGUAUCCGGUCUGAGAGGACGGUCGGACACACUGGAACUGAGACACGGUCCAGACUCCUACGGGAGGCAGCAGUGGGGAAUUUUUCGCGAUGGGGGAAACCCUGACGAAGCAACGCCGCGUGGGUGAUGAAGUCUCUUGGGACGUAAAACCCUUUCGACGGGGAAGAAACCGCAAGGUUGACGGUACCCGUAGAAGAAGCCCCGGCUAACUCCGUGCCAGCAGCCGCGGUAAUACGGGGGGGGCAAGCGUUGUUCGGAAUUACUGGGCGUAAAGGGUGCGUAGGCGGUUCGCUAAGUUGGAUGUGAAAACUCUGGGCUUAACCCAGAGCCUGCAUCCAAAACUGGCGGGCUAGAGUUCUGGAGGGGGUAGCGGAAUUCCUGGUGUAGCGGUGAAAUGCGUAGAUAUCAGGAGGAACACCGGUGGCGAAGGCGGCUACCUGGACAGAAACUGACGCUGAGGCACGAAAGCUAGGGGAGCAAACAGGGUUAGAUACCCUGGUAGUCCUAGCCCUAAACGAUGGAUACUUGGUGUGACGGGGAUUGAAUCCCGUCGUGCCGAAGCUAACGCAUUAAGUAUCCCGCCUGGGGAGUACGGUCGCAAGGCUGAACUCAAGGAAUUGACGGGGGCCCGCACAGCGGUGGGAGUAUGGUGGUUUAAUUCGACGCAACGCGAAGAACCUUACCUGGGCUCGAACGGCUAGUGACAGCGC
rnacentral:rRNA from 1 species